rnacentral:rRNA from 1 species
UGGGGAAUAUUGCACAAUGGGCGCAAGCCUGAUGCAGCCAUGCCGCGUGUGUGAAGAAGGCCUUCGGGUUGUAAAGCACUUUCAGCGAGGAGGAAGGGUAGUGUGUUAAUAGCACAUUGCAUUGACGUUACUCGCAGAAGAAGCACCGGCUAACUCCGUGCCAGCAGCCGCGGUAAUACGGAGGGUGCAAGCGUUAAUCGGAAUUACUGGGCGUAAAGCGCACGCAGGCGGUUUGUUAAGUCGGAUGUGAAAUCCCCGGGCUCAACCUGGGAACUGCAUUCGAAACUGGCAGGCUAGAGUCUUGUAGAGGGGGGUAGAAUUCCAGGUGUAGCGGUGAAAUGCGUAGAGAUCUGGAGGAAUACCGGUGGCGAAGGCGGCCCCCUGGACAAAGACUGACGCUCAGGUGCGAAAGCGUGGGGAGCAAACA